rnacentral:piRNA from 1 species
UUGGUCUGUGGUCUGUAUCUU